UGCGCCGCUAGGCGUUCGCAGGGGCAGUGCACUGAGUUGGCAUUCAUCUUAUAUGCUCCACAGCAAAUAUUCUGCGCCACAUUCGUUCGUCCGUACUUCCAGACUUGAUCACGCGUUCUUCCGCCUAAUAGAGGGCGAGUGGCAUGGGAGCGAGCUAGCACCGCGCCACCGCAGCCACGCUGUGGAGGUUGUGGCUUGCCUGCGUUGUCGUUAGCCCAUGAGUUCGGCCCCCAGUCCCAAAAUCACCCUCGCCACCCUCGCGUGUGGGCCGGCUAACCUUUUUCCCGCUCUGCGCCCGACCUCACCCUCCCUUGCGCACACCGGCUCCGUUUUUCCACCGCCACGCCCGCCCUCGCUCUCGCUCUUAGUCUUCUCAUCGUCGCUACCAGGAGCACCAGAGCCGUCGCUGGAAUGAGCAAAAGCCACAGCAGUCGCAGGAGCCGUUGCGCCAGAUCAAGGUGGCGAUGGAUCCAGCGAUGGUAGCAUGCUUCACUCGUUUUUUUGCAAGAUCCAAACCUGGCAACUAGUUUUUCUCAAUCUUCUGGCCAUCCAUCUCCACUCCCCGCACAUCUGGCGUUCCCUUUCCUGCCUGCAACGUUUCUCCCCUUCUGCACUUAGCUGCCGGCACCUCCGACUCCAAGCACAGCUGGUGUGGCGGCACCGUCGAGCUCCUCUAGAUUUACACGCCAGCACUGUGUGGUGGUCCCUAGAAGUUGUUGAUCCAAAAGGUAAGAGUUACUACUCAAAUGAAGAGGACAUAAGGCUGGUAUGUGUUCUUUAUCCUUCUUAGCAUUUGUUCAAUCGUAGCUGUAAUGUUGUCAAUUUCUAAAAUAUUCUCUGGUCUACAAUUGUGUCAUAGUUGGUUCAUUGAUCUGCUAACUGAUACUCCCUCCGUUUCAUAUUGUAAGACUUUCUAGAUCCAUAUUCAUAUAGAUAUUAAUGAUUCUAGACACAUAUAUGCCUAGAUUCAUUAACAUCUAUAUGAAUAUGGGCAAUGCUAGAAAGUCUUACAUUGUGAAACAGAGGAAGUAGUAGACAAGUGAACUUUGGAGUUAUGAGUGAUGUAUAACAAAGAAUCUUAUGUAAAUUGUCUUAUGUAAAUUGUGAUGUACAACCGAUCAUUGUUGUUGGAGGUGAGUGAAAUUAGGAUUGUACAAAUUGAGUCUAUAUUGGACUGUAGAAACUGAGUGAUGUAUGAGUGUUAGAUUCUUAUAUAAAUUGUGAUGCCAGUUGUGCUUAA